CUGGCAUGGUGUGGAACCCCAUAUGGGCCUUGAACGCACAACCCUGAGAUCAUGACCUGAGCUGAAAUCAAGAGUCGGAUGCUUAUGGACUGAGCCAC